AAAGUCGUAACAAGGUUUCCGUAGGUGAACCUGCGGAAGGAUCAUUACUAGAGCAAAGAACAGACAGCACCCCGCAUGAGCUUGCUCAGUGGUGGGCUACCCUACUUGUAGGGUUUAGAGUCGUCGGACCUCUCGAAGAAGUUCGGUUCUGAACUCCACCCUUGAAUAAAUUACCUUUGUUGCUUUGGCAGGCCGCCUAGUGCCAGCGGCUUCGGCUGCUGAGUGCCUGCCAGAGGACCACAACUCUUGUUUUUAGUGAUGUCUGAGUACUAUAUAAUAGUUAAAACUUUCAACAACGGAUCUCUUGGUUCUG
rnacentral:misc_RNA from 1 species